AAAAGAGAAAAUUCGAAGAGGCUGGCACCAGCUUACAGCUUGAAAUACGAUCGCCAAGAGUGUCCUUGUUGUCUGAAAUCCGCGCACAGUAAACUGUUGAAGGUGAAACUCCGUGAGAGAGAAAAGAUAACCAGGAUAACAGCAGUGACACCACAAUCAAGGAGAGAGAUCUGUUGGGCAGUUGGAUGUGUUGGUGGAAACUGAUUGGUGAGUUUUUUCAUGAUACUGUUGGCAGUAAAAUUCAAGUGUUGUUUAUCAGUUGUUAUCAUUAAUCAGUCAAUCUGUCGGUAAAGUAACAGUCGUUCAGCUCAAAAACCUUUGCCAACAAGUUCACAUAGAUUUUUCAUUAGAUCCUGUAUUUGCCAAGGGAAGCUACUGUUCAUGUGUCACUUCACUACAUCGGUAGCUUCUGGAGAAAUAUUAUGCCUAUGUACCCUUUGAUGAAGCUUUGUAAAAUAUUGAAUACCCUUAGUGAGAGUGGUUAUUUCAAAAUAAUACUACUGAUAAAAACACUACCAAUCUCAAUUGUC